CGUAAGGGGCGAGCGUUGUUCGGAAUUAUUGGGCGUAAAGGGCGUGCAGGCGGUUUUGCAAGUCUGAUGUGAAAACUCUGGGCUUAACUCAGAAUCCGCGUUGGAAACUGCAAGACUAGAAUCUUGGAGGGGGAGUUGGAAUUCCUAGUGUAGGGGUGAAAUCUGUUGAUAUUAGGAAGAACACCGGUGGCGAAGGCGAACUCCUGGCCGAAGAUUGGCGCUGAGGCGCGAAAGCGUAGGUAGCAAACAGGAUUAGAUACCCUGGUAGUCUACGCUGUAAACGAUGUACACUUGGUGUUGGGCCGAUUAGGUUCAGUGCCGUAGCUAACGCGAUAAGUGUACCGCCUGGGGAGUAUGCCGCAAGGGUG
rnacentral:rRNA from 1 species